AGGGUUUGAUCAUGGCUCAGGACGAACGCUGGCGGCGCGCCUAACACAUGCAAGUCGAACGGGGAAGAGGAGAGCUUGCUUUUCUCUUUCUAGUGGCGGACGGGUGAGUAACACGUGAGCAACCUGCCUUUCAGAGGGGGAUAACGUUUGGAAACGAACGCUAAUACCGCAUGACAUCGCUGAGGGACAUCCCUUGGGGAUCAAAGGAGGAAUCCGCUGAAAGAUGGGCUCGCGCCCGAUUAGAUAGUUGGCGGGGUAACGGCCCACCAAGUCGACGAUCGGUAGCCGGACUGAGAGGUUGAACGGCCACAUUGGGACUGAGACACGGCCCAG
rnacentral:rRNA from 1 species